rnacentral:lncRNA from 1 species
CUCAUCUAGGCCUCUCAGUAUCCUUAGAAGGGAGGAGCCUUUAUUAUUGCAACCAUCGCCUCUGUCUCACCAACAAGAGAAGAAAAACCCAGAGAGGUUGCCUGUGGUCAUGCAGCUGGCCGGAAGCGGACCCUGGGCGUGAACGCCACUCUCUGGCUGCUGGGCUUACGUUCCUGUGUUCUCUGCUCUUCCUCUCCGUCUUACAUGUAGGAGACCCAGCCACCGUCCCCAGGAAACAGGAGAAGCACCCGCGGCUGCAAUACAAGGGCACGUCAGUGUUGGAGAGCAGGACUUAAAGCCACCUGUGCAGCAAGGUAUGACCAACUGAGACCACCAACGCCAUCUACCACAGCGGCCCAAGCGCAUUGCACUUCUGCCGUUUUCCAGCGUUCUGCACUUGCCCUUACAAAGAGUGGAAGACUCGAACAAACAGGGGAUCCUGUUGUCUUUUCCUAAGUCUGGGCGGCAGGGUCAGCCCUCUCGAGAAGCAUGAGGCUUGAUCUGGUGGCAUCAGAACGCAAAGCUGAGUUCUAUGGGUUUUGGUGUAAGACACGGAAGGACUAGACUUUCCGAGGACCGAGGCUGUCCCAUGGUAGAAGAGGCUUCUUAGAGAGAGCGCAUGAGCUCCCCGUCACUGGGAAUGUGUACGCGCCGAUGAGAUGCUGACUGGAUGGCUGCAAAAGGGAUCUGCUUGCAAUGAGACUGGAUGCCGACCAGGUAAGCCCCAAGCUUCCUUCCCUGAGCUCCACAAAUCCAAAAGCUUCUGAAAGAGUGGUCCAGUUGCUACAGACCCAUGGCUGAGGAAGGCUCCUAGCCAACCCCUACCACCUCGCCUGGUCCGGCCGGGGCAUAGCAGGUCCCAAUUCCAAGUCCAGGGCAGAGCUGCCUUCUAGCAGUGGGCACAAGAUAGUGAGGGGCUCCAGAAUCUCCCCUCCAGCCCCGCUGGAAAGAAGAGGGGAGAAUACUCAGGUGGAACACCCCGGUCAAGGCCGGAGAGGCCGCCUGGCAACAUAAAGAAUGUGGACCCUGAGCCAGACACACACCCGGUGGGAACUGACCCAGGGUCGGCGCCAGCUCCCUGCCAGCCUCCUGCCCUCGCUGUAAAGGGGAUAACCCUGCCGUGCUGGAGGGUUGCGAGGGUGAACCGAGAUCAUGGAACUGGAACUUCCAUGAGAUGAAACAGAGACCCAGCAAUUGCUUUUUCCUUUUCUUUCUGAGUCACAGCAGAGAAAAACAAGAGCUGACAUAAAAUCCAUCCAC